rnacentral:rRNA from 1 species
AUACGGAGGGAGCAAGCGUUGUUCGGAUUUACUGGGCGUAAAGCGCACGUAGGUGGCGCGACAAGUCGGGAGUGAAAUGCUACGGCCCAACCGUAGAGGUGCUUUCGAAACUGUCGUGCUAGAGGAUGAGAGGGGAAGGCGGAAUUCCAGGUGUAGCGGCGAAAUGCACAGAUAUCUGGAGGAACACCGGUGGCGAAGGCGGCCUUCUGGAUCAUACCUGACACUGAGGUGCGAAAGCGUGGGGAGCGAACAGGAUUAGAUACCCUAGUAGUCC